UGGGGAAUAUUGGACAAUGGGCGCAAGCCUGAUCCAGCCAUGCCGCGUGGGUGAAGAAGGCCUUCGGGUUGUAAAGCCCUUUUGUUGGGGAAGAAAUCGUACGGUUGAAUAUUCCGUGCGGAUGACGGUACCCAAAGAAUAAGCACCGGCUAACUUCGUGCCAGCAGCCGCGGUAAUACGAAGGGUGCAAGCGUUACUCGGAAUUACUGGGCGUAAAGCGUGCGUAGGCGGUUUGUUAAGUCUGUCGUGAAAGCCCUGGGCUCAACCUGGGAAUUGCGAUGGAUACUGGCAAGCUAGAGUACGGUAGAGGAUGGUGGAAUUCCCGGUGUAGCGGUGAAAUGCGUAGAGAUCGGGAGGAACACCCGUGGCGAAGGCGGCCAUCUGGACCAGUACUGACGCUGAGGCACGAAAGCGUGGGGAGCAAACA
rnacentral:rRNA from 1 species